GCACGAAAGGCGUAACGAUCUGGGCACUGUCUCGGAGAGAGACUCGGUGAAAUAGACAUGUCUGUGAAGAUGCGGACUACCUGCACCUGGACAGAAAGACCCUAUGAAUCUUUACUGUUCUCUGGGAUUGUCUUUGGGUUCUUCUUGCACAACUUAGGUGGAAGGCGAAGAAGGCUCCCUCUCGGGGGGGCCUGAGCCACCAGUGAGAUACCACUCUGGAAGAGCUAGAAUUAUAACCUUGUGUCAGGACCUACGGGACAAGGGACAGUCUCAGGUAGAUAGUUUAUAUGGGGCGUAGGCCUCCCAAAAGGUAACGGAGGCAUGCAAAGGUUUCCUCGGGCCGGAUGAAAAUCAACCCUCGAGUGCAAAGGUAGAAGGGAGCUUGACUGCAAGACCCACUCAUCGAGCAGGGAUGAAAGUCGGCCUUAGUGAUCCAACGGUGCCGAGUGUAAGGUUCAUCGCUUAAUGGAUAAAAGUUACUCUAGGGAUAACAGGUUGAUCUUCCCCAAGAGUUCACAUCGACAGGAAGGUUUGGCACCUCGAUGUCGACUCUUCGCCACCUAGGGUUGUAGUACGUUCCAAGGGUUGGGUUGUUCAUCGAUUAAAGUGGUACAUGAGCUGGUUUCAGAACGUCAUGAGAUAGUUCGGUCCAUAUCCGGUGCGGGCGUUAGAGCAUUGAGAGGACCUUUCCCUAGUACUAGAGGACCGAGAAGGACGCACCUCUGGUGUACCAGUUAUCGUGCCCACGGUAGACACUGGGUAGCCAAGUGCAGAGCAGAUAACUACUGAAAGCAUAUAAGUAGGAAGCCCACCCAAAGAUGAGUGCUCUCCUAUUCUUACUUCUCUGAGAGUCCUAGUUGUGAACACGACUGGGACAACGACGGGUUCUCUAUCCUUGCAGGGGAUGGAGCGACAAAAGUAUUGAGAAUCCAAGAUAAGGUCACGGCGAUAUGAGCCGUUUAUCAUUACGAUAGGUGUCAAGUGGAAGUGCAGUGAUGUAUGCAGUUGAGGCAUCCUAACAGACCAAGAGAUUUGAACCU
rnacentral:ncRNA from 1 species